rnacentral:rRNA from 2 species
CAUUGGAACCACCUGAUCCCAUCCCGAACUCAGCAGUGAAACGAUGCAUCGCCGAUGGUAGUGUGGGGUUUCCCCAUGUGAGAGUAGGUC